CUGCUGCCUCCCGUAGGAGUUUGGGCCGUGUCUCAGUCCCAAUGUGGCCGUUCACCCUCUCAGGCCGGCUACUGGUCGUCGCCUUGGUGGGCCGCUACCCCGCCAACCAGCUAAUCAGACGCGGGUCCAUCUUACACCACCGGAGUUUUUAAGACGAAGUCAUGCGACUCCCUCUGUUAUGCGGUAUUAGCACCUAUUUCUAAGUGUUAUCCCCCAGUGUAAGGCAGGUUACCCACGCGUUACUCACCCGUCCGCCACUAAGAUACCAACA
rnacentral:rRNA from 1 species